AGCCCCACAUUGGGUAUAGAGAUUUAAAAAUAAAAUCUUUAAAAAAAAAAAGGAAUCUACUAUUCACAACAGUAACAGACAAGGCAGUAGUAUGGAAUGCAUCCCUCAAUUCCAUGUUUGAUGUGCUGCCUCUAAUUUAAUGUCUUCUCAGGCCAUCUUGGGUUUUGUAUUGUGUCGUUGACUGACCAUCUACCCGAUUGCUCCCAUCUCUACAACCAGAUGCCCCCAUUUCGGGGCUCACCACUCCAGCCUCAUUAGCCAAAGACAGAAAUGGAAGAAAUGGUAGAGUGCACAUUUCCUGCUUCUCCCAGCUCCCUCAGAUUUGAGCUUGACUUCCCUCUCCCUGCACCCACGAUGAGACAUGGCGGUGGUGGGGCAGGUGGCCUUUCAAGGAGGGUCACUAUAUUGUGUGCAGCUGAUAUGCACAUGCAGGGCACACACUGUGUAUGGCUUGGGUAGAGUGACUGGUCAUCUAGUCUUUGUUGGGACGUGCUUAGUCUUUAUCUCCAUUUCUGGUUUGUUCUCUAGUCUUGUUGAGAAAAUCCAGUCUCCCUGGAGGGAAGAGGCCCAGGUACUGGAAAAGAAGAGGGCAGACAGGUCAUCUGACAAAGACUGAGGGUCAACGUAGCAGUGAUGUGGACUUCGAGUCUGAUGAGAGCUAUUUGCCUGCCUGCCUCUUUGGGUCCUUGUGGCGCCAGUUCUCCACGAUUGGCUUAUCCCAUCCGGUCACCUUGCAGGUUUGUGCUUCUCCGCGGGGCCGCACUUGGCCCUCAGCAUGGAACCGAGACUAAGUCGGGUGGAUGAAACCGCUCUGAUGUUCCUGAGCCUCGCUGAUUAAUUUGGACUUUCGCAAACAAGCCACGUCAGGGGCGCCUGGUGGCUCAGUCAGUGACAGCAGGACCUCAGGAACCACGUGCACUCGGACGGUUGGCUCUAAGGACCCAAGUCAUCGCUCCUGAUUGGAUCAUAAGCCAUGGCAAAUGGUACAGACCUCGUGAAACAGGUACACCGUGUUUCAUAUCAUUUUUUUUUAAAAAGUAGGCUCCAUGCAGUGUGGAGCCCAGCAUGGGACUUGAACUCACAACCCUGAGAUCAAGACCUGAGC